rnacentral:rRNA from 1 species
GAUGGGCGCAGCUCAAGAACAUAGCCGCGUGAGGGAUGACGGCCUUCGGGUAGUAAACCUCUUUCGCCAAAGGACGAAGCGCAAGUGACCGUACCUGGAGAACAAGGACCGGCCAACUACGUGCCAGCAGCCGCGGUAAUACGGUAGGCUCCCGAGCGUUGUCCGGAAUUACUGGGCGUAAAGAGCUCGUAGGUGGUUUCUCGCCUUGUUCGUGAAAACUCACAGAUUAACUGUGGGCGUGCGGGCGAUUCGGGCAGACUUGAGUACUGCAGGAGAGACUGGAAUUCCUGGUGUAGCGAUGGAAUGCGCAGAUAUCAGGAGGAACACCGGUGGAGAAGGCGGGUCU